rnacentral:rRNA from 1 species
UACGUAGGGGGCGUAGCGUUGUCCGGAAUUCAUUGGGCGUAAAGAGCUCGUAGGCGGCUUGUCGCGUCGUCCGUGAAAACCUGCAGCUCAACUGCAGGCUUGCGGUCGAUACGGGCAGGCUGGAGUUCGGUAGGGGAGACUGGAAUUCCUGGUGUAGCGGUGAAAUGUGUUGAUAUUGGAAGGAACGCCGGUGGCGAAAGCGACACACUGGACCUUGUCUGACGCUGAGGCACGAAAGCCAGGGGAGCAAACGGG